AUUGAACGCUGGCGGCAUGCCUUACACAUGCAAGUCGAACGGCAGCGGACCUUCGGGUGCCGGCGAGUGGCGAACGGGUGAGUAAUAUAUCGGAACGUACCUUUCAGUGGGGGAUAACGUAGCGAAAGUUACGCUAAUACCGCAUAUUCUGUGAGCAGGAAAGCAGGGGAUCGCAAGACCUUGCGCUGAUUGAGCGGCCGAUAUCAGAUUAGCUAGUUGGUGAGGUAAAGGCUCACCAAGGCGACGAUCUGUAGCGGGUCUGAGAGGAUGAUCCGCCACACUGGAACUGAGACACGGUCCAGACUCCUACGGGAGGCAGCAGUGGGGAAUUUUGGACAAUGGGGGCAACCCUGAUCCAGCCAUGCCGCGUGAGUGACGAAGGCCUUCGG
rnacentral:rRNA from 1 species